UUUUUGCAAAAGGGAUAGCAGCGGAAAUCCUUUUUUAUUUUUGGCUUUUAAAAAUAAAAAAGAUUGAAGUGAAUAGCCCGACCUGAG
rnacentral:sRNA from 1 species